GUUUUAAGCCAUAUUUUCAGGCAAUGACUAAUUGAAUAAACCUCACCUGCAAGGAUAACUCCCUACAGGUACAUGCUACUAACAUUUAGCCCUUUAAAAUUGACAUUGAUUACACAUGCAGGUUCUUUGGCCUGAAAGUGGGUGAAAGCCUGUGCCUAUUGUUGACAUAAUUGAAGGGAAUGCAGUGAAAAGAUCAUACCAG
rnacentral:misc_RNA from 1 species